GAAAUAGGAGAGAAAGGAAAAGGUGAGAAAAUGGAAGGAAAAAGAAUAAAUCAACUUUUGCAUCUGCUUUACGAACUGUCUAGCAACGAACAUCUUUCAAUUUUUAUCAAACUUAAUAUCUAACAUAAAUAGAGAAUACAUUCGAAGAAGAGAAAAUAUAAUAUAUGUAUACAGGAGAAUGAAUUAACUUGUUAAAACGAAGCCUCUAGUAAGUGGAACAAUCGAUCAGGUGGUAUUAAUAAAAUUAUAUCACGCGAUUCAAGGAACAAUUUUUAUUGAUUACAUUUAUCGAAU
rnacentral:misc_RNA from 1 species